AGGGCACCACCAGGAGUGGAGCCUGCGGCUUAAUUUGACUCAACACGGGAAAACUUACCUGGUCAGGACACUGGAAGGAUUGACAGAUUGAGAGCUCUUUCUUGAUUCAGUGGAUGGUGGUGCAUGGCCGUUCUUAGUUGGUGGAGCGAUUUGUCUGGUUAAUUCCGAUAACGAACGAGACUCUAGCCUACUAAAUAGACUGCUCAACUUUAUAGCUGCAUCACCUUGCAGUGGCUUCGCGGUUGCUGUAAGGCUGUGGUGACGUUGGCAGUGCUUCUUAGAGGGACAGGCGGCGGUUCAGCCGCACGAAACAGAGCAAUAACAGGUCUGUGAUGCCCUUAGAUGUCCAGGGCCGCACGCGCGCUACACUGAAGUGAUCAGCGUGCAAUUAACGUUUCCUACUCCGUCAGGAGUGGGUAACCCGUUGAACCUUCUUCGUGAUUGGGAUAGGGGAUUGUAAUUAUUCCCCUUGAACGAGGAAUUCCCAGUAAGCGCAAGUCAUAAGCUUGCGUUGAUUAC
rnacentral:rRNA from 1 species